AAUUACUCUGUAAUGGAGGAAGCCCUUCGGGGCAGGAAGACAGGUGGUGCAUGGUUGUCGUCAGCUCGUGUCGUGAGAUGUUGGGUUAAGUCCCGCAACGAGCGCAACCCUUAUUGUUAGUUGCUACCAUUUAGUUGAGCACUCUAGCGAGACUGCCCGGGUUAACCGGGAGGAAGGUGGGGAUGACGUCAAAUCAUCAUGCCCCUUAUGUCUAGGGCUACACACGUGCUACAAUGGCUGGUACAGAGAGAUGCUAAACCGUGAGGUGGAGCCAAACUUUAAAACCAGUCUCAGUUCGGAUUGUAGGCUGAAACUCGCCUACAUGAAGCUGGAGUUGCUAGUAAUCGCGAAUCAGAAUGUCGCGGUGAAUA
rnacentral:rRNA from 3 species